UACGGGGGGGGCAAGCGUUGUUCGGAAUUACUGGGCGUAAAGGGCUCGUAGGCGGCCAACUAAGUCAGACGUGAAAUCCCUCAGCUUAACUGGGGAACUGCGUCUGAUACUGGAUGGCUUGAGAUUGGGAGAGGGAUGCGGAAUUCCAGGUGUAGAGGUGAAAUUCGUAGAUAUUAGGAAGAACACCAGUGGCGAAGGCGGCUCACUGGCCCGGAACUGACGCUCAUGAGCGAAAGCGUGGGGAGCAAACAGG
rnacentral:rRNA from 1 species